AUUCAUAAACUCAUGGUUAGAGCACCCGUUUAAUAAGCGGGAGGUCUUGAGUUCAACUCUCAAUAAGAGCA
rnacentral:tRNA from 1 species